rnacentral:rRNA from 1 species
UAUCUCUGUAGAGUCUGCAUAUCAAUAAGCGGAGGAAAAGAAACUAACUAGGAUUCCCUCAGUAACGGCGAGUGAAGCGGGAAGAGCUCAAAUUUGAAAUCUUCAAGGUUUUACCUUGACGAAUUGUAGUUUAAAGAAGUGUUUUCUGUUGGAGUUUUGGUAAAAGUUCUUUGGAAUAGGACAUCAUAGAGGGUGAGAAUCCCGUAUUUGACCAUUAUUUCCAGCUUUGUGAUACACUUUCAAAGAGUCGGAUUGUUUGGGAAUGCAGUCCAAAAUGGGUGGUAAAUUUCAUCUAAAGCUAAAUACUGGCGAGAGACCGAUAGCGAACAAGUACCGUGAGGGAAAGAUGAAAAGAACUUUGAAAAGAGAGUUAAACAGUACGUGAAAUUGUCAAAAGGGAAGCGUUUGACACCAGUGUUGCUUUUCUCGAAAAUCAAUUAAAAAUGGCGGGAUUUUGUGUUGUAUUGACUUUAUCAGCUUUCUGCACUCUUUUCCUGUCUUUUUUAAUGCACUUUUCGUUUAACAAGUCAACAUCAAUUUCUUUUGUUGUAAAAGAGUCAUUGGAAGGUGGCUUUCUUUUCGGAGAAAGUGUUUAUAGCCUUUGGCUUCUGCAAUCGGAGAGAUUGAGGUCUGCAGCGUAGAUCCUUCGGGGUUAGAUACAUUUGUGCUAAGUUAUAGCCUUUCAUAGACAACUUGUUGACUAUGAUCAGUCAUGUAGCUUACUCGCUUAUGCUAUUUUACCUACGCUUAGGAUGUUGAGUCAUCACACAUCUCU